rnacentral:rRNA from 1 species
ACGAACGCUGGCGGCGUGCUUAACACAUGCAAGUCGAACGGAAAGGCCCCUUUGGGGGUACUCGAGUGGCGAACGGGUGAGUAACACGUGAGUAACCUGCCCUUGACUUCGGGAUAACUUCAGGAAACUGGGGCUAAUACCGGAUAGGAAUCCUUGCUGCAUGGUGGGGGUUGGAAAGCUUCGGCGGUUUUGGAUGGACUCGCGGCUUAUCAGCUUGUUGGUGGGGUAGUGGCUUACCAAGGCUUUGACGGGUAGCCGGCUUGAGAGGGCGACCGGCCACAUUGGGACUGAGAUACGGCCCAGACUCCUACGGGAGGCAGCAGUGGGGAAUAUUGCACAAUGGGCGGAAGCCUGAUGCAGCAACGCCGCGUGCGGGAUGACGGCCUUCGGGUUGUAAACCGCUUUCAGCAGGGGCGAAGCUUGUGGUGACGGUACCUGCAGAAGAAGCACCGGCUAACUACGUG